GGGCCUGGCCUCCGCGUGCCUCCCGGGCUCCAAGCCCCUGAUGCUGCUCCCGUGCUGACCCCGCCCGGCUGGGACAAUGGUGAAGCAUUUCCCGGGCCACAGUGUGUACCGGAAUCCCUAUAGCAAACAUGUCUUGAUGGAAGACAUAUUGCACCGGGAGGUCACCCCUGACCAGAAGCUCCUGUCCCGGAGACUCCUGACCAAAACCAACAGGAUGCCCUGCUGGGCUGAGUGACUAUUUCCUGCCAAUGUUGCUCACUCAGUGUACAUCCUGGAGGAUUCCAUUGUGGACCCACAGAACCAGACCAUGACCACCUUCACCUGGAACAUCAACCACGCCCAGCUGAUGGAAUUUGGUCUCGCCGGUUCAAAAGCAAUGUGACCAAGUCAAUGAAGGGUUUUUAAUACAUCUUGGCCAAGCUGCAAGGUGAGACCCCUUCCAAAACCCUAGUUGAGACAGCCAAGGAAGCCAUGGAGAAGGCAAAGGAGACGACACUGGCAGCUACAGAGAAGGCCAAGGACCUGGCCAAAAAGGCAGCCACCAAGAAGCAGCAGCAGCAGCAGUUUGUGUAGCCAACGCAGACCCUGUAUGGCAGCGUACCACCCCACCAGCUGCACUCCCUCUGUCCUCCCCCUGUAUUUUAUUAUUAAAAGUCAACUUCCAGCCUGAGCUACUCUCUGGGUAGUGGGUUGGAGGUGGGAUCUGUCUGGCAUCUACAAUGCAUCAGACAUGCUAUCCAUGCCUGGGCCAGGCCUGCAUCUUCCUGCAUUGGACGGCUGAGGAGGGAUUUGCCCAGGGUCACAGACAGCAUGCAGGCAAGGUGGUCAUAAACACUACACUGUAAGCUCCACGAGGGCAGGGACCUUUUUGUUCUCUGCUGUGUCCCAAGCAUCUGGAACAAUAUCUAGCUCAUAAUAGACACUCAGUAAAUGUUUGUUGAAUU